GAUGAACGCUAGCGGCAGGCUUAAUACAUGCAAGUCGAGGGGCAGCACAGGUAGCAAUACUGGGUGGCGACCGGCAAACGGGUGCGGAACAUGUACACAACUUACCUUCUGGUGGGGGAUAGCCUUUGGAAACGGAGAUUAAUACCCCAUAUAAUAUAUGAGCUGCAUGGUUUGUAUCUUAAAGAUUUAUUGCCGGAAGAUGGGUGUGCGUAUGCUUAGGUAGUUGGCGGGGUAACGGCCCACCAAGCCGACGAUCAUUAACUGGUGUGAGAGAAGAACCGGUCACACGGGCACUGAGACACGGGCCCGACGCCUACGGGAGGCAGCAGUAAGGAAUAUUGGUCAAUGGACGGAAGUCUGAACCAGCCAUGCCGCGUGGAGGAUGAAGGUCCUCUGGAUUGUAAACUUCUUUUAUAGGGGGCGAAAAAAGGGAAUUCUUUCUCGUCUGACGGUACCCUAUGAAUAAGCACCGGCUAACUCCGUGCCAGCAGCCGCCGUAAAAC
rnacentral:rRNA from 1 species